rnacentral:lncRNA from 1 species
UCCUUUUCCAGUUUUUCUUUUCUGCGUCGCUUUCUUUUUCGGCCUUUGCUUUCCUGAUUUGCUUCCAUUUUCAUUUCACGGUUUUUCUUCUGAAGCUCCAAAAACUUAUUCCAUAUAUUUAAAGGAAUUCCAGCAGGGCACGUUUCAGAUGUGCUUUCUCCAUCCGCCACAGAUGUCAAAACUGAGUUAGUGGUGGCAUUAUUUUCAGGUCCAUUCUCCUGCAAUUCCGGAAGCUGAACUCCUUCUGUGUCUUCUGUUAUGUCUUCCUUCAAACAGGACAUACAUGACUCCUCUUCAUCCUCAGAGCUCAAGUCAACAUCACUUUCACUCAGUCCUGGAGGUAACAGACCACUCCACAUCUUCCUCUUCACGCAAGGCCAAGGCACUGGGAGUCAUUGCACAGAUAUGGGAGUCACGUGAGCACACCUGGCCGCCAUAUUGGCACCUCUGGAACACCCCGCCCGUUGAUUGGGCGCUGCCCCGCAGCCAAUCAGCCGGCGCUUUGCUGCCCUGCUCUCUGCCUCCAUGAGCUCCACGACAAUAGGGCACGGCGUGCAGUAGCGCGGCGCCACGCGAUGCAGUGCAAUGCAGCCUCGCUGCAGCCGCGACAGCUCCACAUUGGUCUCGUGUCCCCAGAUAUGCAAUUUAGGUGUGCUUCUCAGAAUAGCAGCCGUGCUCUCAAGAGAAAGACAGGUCGCUUUCCAGUAUUCAUAGUUGUGGUAGAGGAGCAUGGAAGGUAUUCAAAGCUAAACCUUCUAAUUUGUACAAGUCCCAAAUGUUUGGCAUGGGACAGUGACCAGGGCCUGCAACCUUACUCUUCAUGGAUGAGAAAAUCUUUUUAAAAUUCCUUAAAUUGUCUCAUAUUAAUGCAGUAAAUGGAAAGCCUCAAACGACCUUGUUCCAGCAAAGCUUGAAUUUCCCUUAAACUGCACCAAGAAUGUGAAAAAGGUGCCUGUCUGCCUGAAAAAAAUGUGAAAUGCCUGAAAAAGAUGUGAAAAUGUCACUGUGAGCAGAUUAACACCAUGUGAAGUGACUCUGAGGCCAACAGUAACUCUCUGGAGAGCAUUCGGGAAAGUACAGAACUCAUUUGGAAGUUUGUCCUCUUUGUCCUUUCAGUGUACGUAGGUGAGACGUGAAACAAACGCUUAGUAGAGGCCUGUAUGUGGUUUGACAUGAAACCUCACAUGCAGGGGGUGACAGGAGAGGUGGAACAGAGAAAUAACAAGAAAAGGAUACCAUGAAGACAAAGAGACCUCUGGCACUGAAAUGUGUCUGAAAGAGAGGAGGGCUUGCAGCUGACCGGUUGCAAAGUAGAUCUCAGCCUUGUGCCCUCUGAGAAAGAAAUUGCUGGCACCAAGACACAGCCUACUUGUGGGAAGACGUACAGAUGUGAGGGGAGUGGGAAAGGGGCACGGAUUCCAGGAGGGAUAAAAGCAGACAGCAAGAACUUUGAGUAGGAUCACCUUGGAUCACCGAGAGUAGCAGCUGUGUAUCCAGACUCUCUGAAGGUCAGGUAGCUGUACGGUGGGUGAGCUGGCAGCUGAACUGUGCUACGCAGCAUCUUUUACCUGGUUCUUCCUACCCGGCUGUGCAGAGGAAAUUUCACAAGUUGUAGGAACAACCAUAGAGAUGUAAGACAACUAUUCAAAAUCUGAUGAGGCCUGUGAUACCACCCAAACUAGUAUCUGCCUGAGAAGUAAACAUGCAAGACAGGAAUCAACUGAAAUGGAUAUUAAAGAAAUUACAAGCUCUACUUCUAUCAUACUUAGUGCAAUAUAACAGAAUCACGUGGGACUGGUUUAAAAGUAAGUCACUUUUAUACUUACACAUAUACCCUUUCUGCAGUACUGGGCA